CCCAAGGGGUGAACUGAGGGUGCGCAUGAAUAGUCUGAGAGCAUUAAUCCUCAUCGUGCUGUGGCUGUGGAAAAUUAUGCCUUGACAUCACUCUUCAAAGCCAGUAGAUCAGUAUUUCUGUCUUGAUAGAUGGAAGUAAGAACACUGGCCUUCUUCAGAGUAGUUAUAUAGUUAUGCAUGUUCAAUAGAUCAGCAUUUUGGCUUUAUUAAGCUGCUCUGGCACAGUGCUUUCAGCACUCACUGAUCACCUUCAGUGGGUUCAUCUCAAAGCGCCUGUUAGUUGGCUGACAUGUUCUAGCUGGCGUGAAGAAUCUUUUUCUUACUGAGGUUUAAGUAAGCUUUUCUGCCUUUUAUGUUUUGGACUGUGUCUUUAGGUUAGUGUUGGCUACUAACAAAAACCCUGGUCACGUGACCACAAGCACCAAAAGAAAAGGGUGUAACCUAGUCAGAAGCCAUUCCUGAUUUGAGGAGUUGACAUCUGUUUAAGUCACGAGUUUGUCUUCCAUGACACCUCUGGGUCCCUGUUUCAGUGUUUUACCACUCAUGGUGAAAAUUUUUUCCUUUUUUCCUUAUUAUACCCUGAAUUUCCUCUAUUGCAGUUAAUGUGUUUGUCUUGUCCUAUCACUGUGUUUUUCCAAGGAGUCGGAUAGUGUGGUCCAAGUUUCAAUCCUAUGUCUGCCAGAGGCAGUGAAUCAUUUUCCAUGUCUUGGAGACUUUGUUGUUGCAGUUGUCUGAAGAUAACAUCACAGCACUGCUUCUCUCAGGAGAAGCAGCUUGCAAAGAAGGGCUGCUUGAGCCCCAUCUUUUCUAUCCCGUCCCACUGGGUAAUUAAUGGUGGACAGCAAUAAGGUCACCCUGAAGCCUCGUCCUCUUAAAGCUGAAUAAACGUAGCUCCUUCAGUCGCUCCUCAUUGAUGAUAUUCUCCAGCCCCUGACAACCUUGUGGCCUUCUCCUGGAAGUUUGGAAUACCCAUGUGAUCUUACCGGGCUUCAAUAGUUUUAUAUGCGUAAAAGACAAUUCCAGGAUGAUGACAAGACAUAAAGAGACUUUCCAACAUCUGUCCAGGAUAAUAAUGACAUUUUAAGAGGCAACAGUCCAAUGCUUUCAACUUGAAUGACAUCAGUGAUGGCUCCAAUCCAGGUUAUCCAAGGAAAGAUAAGAAAGAUAAAAAUUAAAGUCUUUCAUCAGCUUAAUUCUCUUGCAUUUCUACCUUAGAACUUAGCUCUAAAUUCCUAUUCAUGUUUUUGAAAGCACGCGCUGACAAAUUAGUGUUACUGUGUUCAUACCUUUUGAUUUUUAAAAGAACCAAAUUCAUCACUUGAUCUCAGAGCCUAUUGCUACAAGCAAUAUUGUUUUCCAGCUGAGCCACAGCUAACAUGGAUUUUAUUCUUUUUGUGUCUCUUUUAUCACUUUAGUGUGCUCUUCCAUGUGUUGCAAAGUACAGAUGGUGAAAUGCUUUGGGUCAUGCAACAUUGUCAGUUAAUUCUUUUGUGAGCUGUGGUGCCAGCUAAUCCUCGUAUUUCAAUUUCUGGUGUGUUCUGUGCAAUCACUUUUUUGUUGUUUAUUCAUUAUGCCUGAAAUAAAGAAUGGCUGAUAACAGCAAAAGUCAAAGGGAUUUAGUCAGGUUGUUCUUCCACAGAUAUCCAUGCACUUAAUUGGCACCACUGAUACAGAAAAGAUUAACAAAAAGGAAAAAUUUACCCACUGUUUUACACAAUAAUAAUGUCUUUAGAAAUAUGAGAAAUAAAGCUACAUCAGACAGCUACAGAAUGUACAGAAGAGUACAUGCCCCAAACAGAUGCUCAAAUGUACUUGGUGGGUAUUACAAUACAAAGAAAAUAGGGAAAGAAGGA